UUAUGCACUGUUCUCCCAGGGUAACAAACUGCUCCUUCCAUAACAAGCUGCAAGCCCGGCUCCCUCUGGGCGGCACAUAUGAAGCUGCAUGUGAUUGGUUUUGCACGGAAAUAACAACACAGGAAUUGUGAGGUUGCUGCCUCCACCCUUUUGCAUUUGGAUUUUUGCUUUCCUGCGCACCUUCUGCAGCCGUAUAAGGGCAUGCAUUUGAGUGAUUGUGGACGUUUGGAUUUAAGCUUAUUACUUAAAAUUGUCUCCAGUCCAGCCACUAAUCCCUGCCUUCUUCAGGGAGGGAUAACAAUAAUACAACAAGAUCCAGAGCUACUAAUGAAGUCCUGUAGGGUUCCCUGAAUGCAGGAGAAGAUGAGAGAUAUGGAGAAGCGUGAAGACUGAGAGAGUAUUGAUCGAAUGGAGACCAAAGCUGGACCAAGAAAGGAGGAAAUGAGGGGGAAACGAAAGUCGGGAAGAGGGAACUGAAAAAACCAGACUGAUUCCUUCUCCUGCGUCUCCCCCGCCAGACCCACCGUUCGACCCCUGGGAUUGAAUUAGGCCUGGCCCAUUAUGCUGUUGCCAUGGGAACCCUGACACCUCCACUGACGAAGCGAGGGCCACGCAAGACAGGGCCGCUGAUCAGAAAGUGUGUGAAAGUGUGUGACAGUGUACGUGGGUUUGUGUCAGUUGUAGUCACUCACAAAUGUGUCUGUAGAUAUCACUCAGUAAGGAAUAGACUAGAAUCAGUUGCUCCUUUUUAUUUAUUAAUCCUGAUUUUUCAUGCAUUAAAAUAAUCUGCUGCUAUUACAUCAAAACCCAUUUCAUUCAGAUUGGUCUUUUUUCUCCUCACACAUCUGCUCUUGUUUUUACACCUGUAUUCAGAGAGUGAUUUAAUUUUUUUAAAUUUACUUUUAAUUAGACAGGCAAUCUCAUUUAGACUGGUGGUCUCAUUUACAACACGUCAGAAAAUAACACAACAAUCAUAAAUAUUAUACUGGCAUUUAACAAGAACAGAAUUAAAGACAAAACUUGGAAACCUGAAA